UACGUAGGGGGCAAGCGUUGUCCGGAUUUAUUGGGCGUAAAGAGCGUGUAGGCGGCCAGACAGUCUGCUGUGAAAACUCGAGGCUCAACCUCGAGCUGUCGGUGGAAACUGUUUGGCUAGAGUCCGAAAGAGGAGAGUGGAAUUCCUGGUGUAGCGGUGAAAUGCGCAGAUAUCAGGAAGAACACCUAUGGCGAAGGCAGCUCUCUGGGACGGUACUGACGCUGAGACGCGAAAGCGUGGGGAGCGAACAGG
rnacentral:rRNA from 1 species